rnacentral:rRNA from 1 species
GUGCCAGCAGCCGCGGUAAGACGGAGGGCGCAAGCGUUGUUCGGAAUUACUGGGCGUAAAGCGCGGGCAGGCGGUCUGUUAAGUCGUUUGUGAAAAUCCGGGGCUCAACCCCGGAAAUGCAUACGAUACUGGCAGGCUGGAGACUGGUAGAGGCUAGCGGAAUUCCUGGUGUAGCGGUGGAAUGCGUAGAUAUCAGGAAGAACACCUGUGGCGAAGGCGGCUAGCUGGGCCAGUUCUGACGCUCAUCCGCGAAAGCGUGGGGAGCAAACAGGAUUAGAAACCCCCGUAGUCC